GAUGCGCAUGCGCAGACAGAGUGUGCGAGCGGCGGGCCUUGACCUUUCGGGAAAAAAAACUCACGGACGGUGACAGCGAAACGGAUAACAGUCUUCAGUACCUGCUGGACUUUGAAGCUGUGGAUUCUGGGACUGUUAGAAAAGAAACUCUGAAAUUCUGUAGAUCUGAGCCGUUGUUCCAGAUCAACUGGCGUUUAGAUCAACUGGCGUUGGUCGAACAGAUGUGUGGCAGUCUUGCGUUUCAGGAGCUCCUACCGACAAACCAGCAAAAAAACACCAAAUGUGUCAUCUGUGACACUUGUGAGGACAGCAAGAGUAAACGAUCGGGAGACCCUUGUCGUCGUUAUCGUUCCACUCGCACGGUUUAUUUCACCGAAUUCAGCGUUUUUGCUUCACAACUAAAGCGAGCAGUUUGCUCUGUGCACCAACAUGGAGUCGAGUCAACCAGCGCCACCUCUGGCCAAGUGCCACAGCCUACAGCCAGAUCAACCUGUGACACACAUCUGCA
ensembl:lncRNA